CUCUACUAGAGCUUCGUACAUUUUACUCGAUACCAUUAGUAACCUUGUCCUUUUUAUCAUACCUAGCAUCUGUGAUGCGUGCACUUUGCAAUCGCCAUUUUUGUUUUGGAAACGAAGCGAUUCGGAGCUUAUUAUCUUACCAAAAUCGUAACAACGUAAUCCAGGAAAUAAUUGAAAUUCAAUUCGGAGCUAGCAUUAAAAAGUAACAUCUGACAGCAUAAACAAUUUGGAGGCGAAUACGGACGUAAAAUACGGACGAAGUGAGCACCAGUAAACUAUGGGAAUAACGAAUACUGAAAUCACUUAUUCAAUCCUGAAUAAAUCUCGGGCGAAUACGGACGUAAAAUACGGACGAAGUGAGCACCAGUAAACUAUGGGAAUAACGAAUACUGAAAUCACUUAUUCAAUCCUGAAUAAAUCUCGGGUAAACAUUAAGAAAUGGAUGAAUUGGGCGACUGGAUUAAAAGGCAUAGCACAAUUUUGGAAUACUGGGCUAAACAUUUGUCACACUUAUGCUAUCCAGAAACUUUCGGGUAACGAGAGGACACAAAACAGGACACGAAGUGCUGUUUUCUGAUGCCUUCGAUUGCCGACCAAUCAGUUGUCCCUGACCUACAAUAAGCAAAAGUAUUGUGGUCCAGCAAGAAAAAUAACAUGAAUUGACUUAUAAUGAAUUUAAUUAUGUUAUUAGUAAUGUAUUAUAAAUAACAUGACUAGUUGUAUUAGUGCACCCGUGGCCGAGUGGUUAGCGUCUCACAUUAUCAUGCCGGGUGUUCGGGUUCGAUUCCCGUUCUGGCCGGGGGAUUUUUCGUCAAAGAAAUUUCCUUCGACUUGCACUGUGGUCAUGCGUAUUCAAGAGCUUGCCCCUCGGAAUACAUUCAAGGCGUGUUAUUUGGCUUAAGAAAUCUCGACCAAGUAUUAAUAAAUGACGCUAGUUAAUGCAUACGUUGAGACAGCAAAAGUUCCACAAGUGAACGUUAACGCCAUUCAAGAAGA